rnacentral:misc_RNA from 1 species
AACAGUUCCUUGCUGUUUCGACAAGCGUAGAGCAGGUGCGAGUGUAUGAUCUUACAUCAAUGUCGUGCUCUUAUGUCUUGGCUGGGCAUACUGAUGUUAUUUUAUGCCUUGAUACCUGUUUAUCCAGCUCUGGAAGAACGCUUAUUGUAACAGGGAGCAAAGACAACACCGUUAGAUUAUGGGAUUGCCAGAGCAAAGCGUGUGUUGGAGUUGGCAUUGGU